UACGUAGGGGGCGAGCGUUGUCCGGAGUUACUGGGCGUAAAGCGCACGCAGGCGGUCUGCUAAGUUUGGGGUGACAGUUGGUGGCUUAACUGCCAAAGUGCUUCGAAAACUGACAGACUUGAGGGCUUCAGAGGGACACGGAAUUCCGGGUGGAGUGGUGAAAUGCGUAGAGAUCCGGAGGAACACCAAAGGCGAAGGCAGUGUCCUGGGGAGUACCUGACGCUCAGGAGCGAAAGUGUGGGGAGCGAACAGG
rnacentral:rRNA from 1 species